GUGUUGUAUGAAAGGAGAGGUUAGCACCCCCCUUGACAAGGAUGUAAGAGGCCUUUGUGGUCUUCCACACAUAUACACAGUUAAAGCAUUGUCACCUACUUCGUGGCAUCUCUAACCAAGUUUU